ACGCUCGACACCUACGGGAGGCAGCAGUGGGGAAUAUUGCACAAUGGGGGAAACCCUGAUGCAGCGACGCCGCGUGAGCGAAGAAGUAUUUCGGUAUAGUAAAGCUCUAUCAGCAGGGAAGAAAAUGACGGUACCUGACUAAGAAGCCCCGGCUAACUACGUGCCACAGCCGCGGUAAUCUGAGCGGGCUGGCAAGGC
rnacentral:rRNA from 1 species